GUCAAAAUUCUAAAAAUCUCAUUGAUAUGAAAGUAAUUCUGAAAUUCACUCACGAAUUUUAGAAUUAAUGAAGGAUAACAGAUCAGUAUAUUUUAGAACUAAUUCUGAAAUUCAAUCACCUAAAACUCAUCAACAACUAAAGUUUUAGUUAGGAGAUAGAUGGAUGGCUAUCUAAAUCUUAGGCAUACCUCAUUAUGAAGCCCAAGAUGGCAAUAUGCAACAUAUCUUUCAAUAUGCAAUAGCUAUAUAUAAUCAAAUAACAAUAGCUUCAAUGAUUCGGGAAAAGAAAAACUUCAAUGGAACAUACCAGUUAUCAUCAACGAGAGGAGG
rnacentral:misc_RNA from 1 species